CCAAUAGCGUAUAUUUAAGUUGUUGCAGUUAAAAAGCUCGUAGUUGGAUUUCGGGAGUGAGACGUCGGUCGCCCGCUCGCGGUCGAUACUGGCGCUCUUCCUUAUCUGCCUCGGCGCCCGCCUGGCCUUCGUUGGUCGGGCGGCGUCCGCGGCGUUGUUACCUUGAAUAAAUUAUGGUGUUCAAAGCAGGCAACCGCUGUGAGUACAUUAGCAUGGAAUAACGGAAUAGGACUCCGGUCCCGUUCUCGUUGGUCUCCGCACCGGAGUAAUGAUUAACAGGGACGGUCGGGGGCAUUCGUACUCCGAUGUUAGAGGUGAAAUUCUUGGAUCAUCGGAAGACGAACUUCUGCGAAAGCAUUUGCCAAGGAUGUUUUCAUUAAUCAAGAACGAAAGUUGGGGGCGCGAAGACGAUUAGAUACCGUCCUAGUCCCAACCGUAAACGAUGCCAACCCCGAAUUGGCGCGCGUAUGACUUGACGCCGCCAGCGCCCGAGGAGAAAUCAGAGUCUUUGGGUUCCGGGGGGAGUAUGGUCGCAAGUCUGAAACUUAAAGGAAUUGACGGAAGGGCACCACCAGGUGUGGAGCGUGCGGCUUAAUUUGACUCAACGCGGGGAAUCUUACCAGGUCCGGACAUAGCGACGAUUGACAGACUGAUAGCUCUUUCUUGAUCAUAUGG
rnacentral:rRNA from 1 species